rnacentral:lncRNA from 1 species
AUAAGUAUGGCAGCUUUGAUCGAUGGUCAUUAAUUGAGAGCUAUUUGCAUAGAUUAAGUCUAUAUCGAGUUAAUAGCAUAUCCCUCCCAUCGAUCUCACUAACCUAGCCAAUAAGGUAAAUCAUAUUUUGAUUAGAUCAUUUAAUGAUUGGAGUUGACCCAUGCUAACUAGAAAAUUAGUAUGACUGAUUUAGGUACCCCU